rnacentral:rRNA from 1 species
UACGGGGGGGCGAAGCGUUGUUCGGAAUUACUGGGGUCGGUAAAGGGCUCGUAUGGCGGCCAACUAAGUCAAGACGUGGAAAUCCCUCGGACCUUAACCGGGGAACUGCGUUCUAGAUACUGGAUGGCUUGAGUUGGGAGAGGGAGUGUGGAAUUCCGAGGUGUAGCGGUGAAAUGCGUAGAUAUCUGGAGGAACACCGGUGGCCGAAGGCGGCAAUCCUGGACCCGACACUGACGCUGAUGAGCGAAAGCCAGG